CCUACGGGAGGCAGCAGUGAGGAAUAUUGGUCAAUGGGCGGAAGCCUGAACCAGCCAAGCCGCGUGAGUGAAUAUGGCCCUACGGGUCGUAAACCUCUUUUGCCGGGGCGCAAGGGCGGGGACGUGUCCCGGCCCGGAGAGUACCCGGAGAAAAAGCAUCGGCUAACUCCGGGCCAGCAGCCGGGGUAAUACGGAGGAUGCGAGCGUUAUCCGGAUUUAUGGGGUUUAAGGGGUGCGUAGGCGGGCUGUUAAGUCAGCGGUAAAAAUUCGGGGCUCAACCCCGUCCGGCCGUUGAAACUGGGUGCCUUGAGUGGGCGAGAAGAAGGCGGAAUGCGUGGUGUAGCGGUGAAAUGCAUAGAUAUCACGCAGAACCCCGAUUGCGAAGGCAGCCUUCCGGCGCCCUACUGACGCUGAGGCACGAAAGUGCGGGGAUCGAACAGGAUUAGAUACCCGAGUAGUC
rnacentral:rRNA from 1 species